rnacentral:rRNA from 1 species
UACGGGGGGGGCAAGCGUUGUUCGGAAUUACUGGGCGUAAAGGGUUCGUAGGUGGCCAACUAAGUCAGACGUGAAAUCCCUCAGCUUAACUGGGGAACUGCGUCUGAUACUGGUUGGCUUGAGUGCAGGAGAGGAACGCGGAAUUCCAGGUGUAGCGAUGAAAUGCGUAGAUAUCUGGAGGAACACCGGUGGCGAAGGCGGCGUUCUGGACUGCAACUGACACUGAGGAACGAAAGCCAGGGGAGCAAACGGG